CCUACGGGGAGCAUCAGUGAGGAAUAUUGGUCAAUGGUCGGGAGACUGAACCAGCCAAGCCGCGUGAGGGAUGAAGGUACAGAGUAUCGUAAACCUCUUUUGUCAGGGAACAAAGGCGGGGACGUGUCCCCGGAUGAGUGUACCUGAAGAAAAAGCAUCGGCUAACUCCGUGCCAGCAGCCGCGGUAAUACGGAGGAUGCGAGCGUUAUCCGGAUUUAUUGGGUUUAAAGGGUGCGCAGGCGGUCUGUUAAGUAAGCGGUAAAAGCCCGGGGCUCAACCCCGGCCCGCCGUUGAAACUGGCAGUCUCGAGUUGGAGAGAAGUAUGCGGAAUGCGCGGUGUAGCGGUGAAAUGCAUAGAUAUCGCGCAGAACUCCGAUUGCGAAGGCAGCAUGCCGGCUCCACACUGACGCUGAGGCACGAAAGCGUGGGUAUCGAACAGGAUUAGAUACCCCAGUAGUC
rnacentral:rRNA from 1 species